CAGUCGCCGCGGGAAUACGAACCGUGCGAACGUUAUUCGGAAUUACUGGGCUUAAAGCGCGUGUAGGCGGGUCGGCACGUCGGUCGCUGAAAUCCCCCGGCUCAACCGGGGAAGUGGCGCCGAUACGGCCGGCCUGGAGGGGGGUAGGGGGGCCUGGAACUUCUGGUGGAGCGGUGAAAUGCGUUGAGAUCGGAAGGAACGCCCGUGACGAAAGCGAGGCCCUGGACCCUUUCUGACGCUGAGACGCGGAAGCCAGGGGAGCGAACGGGAUUAGAUACCCGCGUAGUCCCUGUCUCUUAUA
rnacentral:rRNA from 1 species